ACGCACGCUGGCGGCGUGCCUAAUACCUGCAAGUAGAACGCACAGUUUAUACCGUAGCUUGCUACACCAUAGACUGUGAGUUGCGAACGGGUGAGUAACGCGUAGGUAACCUGCCUGGUAGCGGGGGAUAACUAUUGGAAACGAUAGCUAAUACCGCAUAAUAUUGAUUAUUGCAUGAUAAUUGAUUGAAAGAUGCUAUUGCAUCACUACCAGAUGGACCUGCGUUGUAUUAGCUAGUAGGUGAGGUAACGGCUCACCUAGGCGACGAUACAUAGCCGACCUGAGAGGGUGAUCGGCCACACUGGGACUGAGACACGGCCCAGACUCCUACGGGAGGCAGCAGUAGGGAAUCUUCGGCAAUGGACGAAAGUCUGACCGAGCAACGCCGCGUGAGUGAAGAAGGUUUUCGGAUCGUAAAGCUCUGUUGUAAGAGAAGAACGGGUGUGAGAGUGGAAAGUUCACACUGUGACGGUAUCUGACCAGAAAGGGACGGCUAACUACGUG
rnacentral:rRNA from 1 species